UACCAAAUUCUAAAGAGCAUCAACAAAAUCAAGAUUCUGCAUCAACUAACAGGCAAAACAGCCAGCUAGCAUCAAAAUGGCAGUAUCAAAUUCACACAUAACAAUAUAACC